rnacentral:rRNA from 1 species
AUCGAACGCUGGCGGCAGGCCUAACACAUGCAAGUCGAGCGGCAGCGGGAAAGUAGCUUGCUACUUUUGCCGGCGAGCGGCGGACGGGUGAGUAAUGCCUGGGAAAUUGCCCAGUCGAGGGGGAUAACAGUUGGAAACGACUGCUAAUACCGCAUACGCCCUACGGGGGAAAGCAGGGGACCUUCGGGCCUUGCGCGAUUGGAUAUGCCCAGGUGGGAUUAGCUAGUUGGUGAGGUAAUGGCUCACCAAGGCGACGAUCCCUAGCUGGUCUGAGAGGACGAUCAGCCACACUGGAACUGAGACACGGUCCAGACUCCUACGGGAGGCAGCAGUGGGGAAUAUUGCACAAUGGGGGAAACCCUGAUGCAGCCAUGCCGCGUGUGUGAAGAAGGCCUUCGGGUUGUAAAGCACUUUCAGCGAGGAGGAAAGGUUGAUGCCUAAUACGUAUCAACUGUGACGUUACUCGCAGAAGAAGCACCGGCUAACUCCGUGCCAGCCGCCGCCGUAA